UAAAACAAGAUGAUCAGGAGAGUAGUUAUCCAAUGAUUGCGCAGAGAGUUCACGUUUGCUGAAAGUGAAUGAAUCAGAAGAUAAUGAAUAUGGCCUGUAAUUUGGCAUCGCUGAUAAUUAAGCGAUGAUGGGGUGGCAACCAUUAUUAAUUGCACGCGUUUAUAUAGACGUUAUUGAGGGUGGGAGUGCAAGCUUCCACUGAAUUAGAAUGGUACCACGGAACUCCGUUUCUAGA
rfam:Lactobacillus kunkeei strain LAko contig007, whole genome shotgun sequence.